ACAUUUACGUCAAUUUGAUUUCUACACAGAAAGGAUAUUUCAAACCUAUUGGAUUGCUGAAGCUCGCCACCAAAGAUUACCAAAUAGUUACUGUUAGUCAGCACAGGGAUACCAACUUUUGUGAAGUGCUUAAUAAUUAUAUUGCUGUUGCUGGUCAACUUUUAGAGAGCGGCUGCCAACUCACUAUCUCUUAUCAAUGAGGUCGUUGUUUUCACACAUUUGCAAUACGGACGGGAACAAACGAAUUCAUCAGCAAUCAAAAGGAAGCAGGGACAACACCAGCAGAACACGAGGAUCACGACGACGUGGAUCAAUGUGUAUGACCAUCACAUCCAUCAUCAUCAUCAUCACAGCCAUCAACCAUCACACCAUCCAUCACUCUUCUAGCUGUUUCCAAGCUAACACUUCAGGAUUUCUCGUACGGUACUGUCACGCCUUUUUGUAAUUUUAUUUGUUAGGCCGGAAUUCGUAGAGAUAGUUGAUCGUUAGGAUAUUACUAAACUUUAAACGCCUUAAUCAUACCACCAUGGAUAAGCGAAAGGUGAAAGAUUUUGUGGGUCCAAGGCAGAGAGCACGAAGAAUUAGAUUAGCAAUCAGUAGACAAUUAAAUGAAUAUUGUGAAAAAGUAACAAACAACGAUCAGAAAAUCGGACGGGAUAAUGUUCAGCCAUUGAAUUCCUUUGGAGUUCAUUCAUUAGAAAAUGUAGAUGCCCAGAUAGAAGAUAUUGA